UACGUAGGGUGCAAGCGUUGUCCGGAAUUAUUGGGCGUAAAGAGCUCGUAGGCGGUUUGUCGCGUCUGCUGUGAAAAUCCAGGGCUUAACCCUGGACCUGCAGUGGGUACGGGCAGACUGGAGUGCGGUAGGGGAGAUCGGAAUUCCUGGUGUAGCGGUGAAAUGCGCAGAUAUCAGGAGGAACACCGGUGGCGAAGGCGGAUCUCUGGGCCGUAACUGACGCUGAGGAGCGAAAACAUGGGGAGCGAACAGG
rnacentral:rRNA from 1 species